UGAACGCUAGCGGCAGGCCUAACACAUGCAAGUAGAACGGUAACAGAGAGAGCUUGCUCUCUGCUGACGAGUUGCGAACGGGUGCGUAACGCGUAUGCAACCUACCCAUAACAGGGGAAUAGCCCAUAGAAAUGUGGAUUAAUACCCCAUAAUAUCAUAGAUUGGCAUCAUGAAAUGAUUAAAACUCCGGUGGUUAUGGAUGGGCAUGCGUGACAUUAGCUAGUUGGUGAGGUAACUGCUCACCAAGGCGACGAUGUCUAGGGGUUCUGAGAGGAUGAUCCCCCACACUGGUACUGAGACACGGACCAGACUCCUACGGGAGGCAGCAGUGAGGAAUAUUGCGCAAUGGAGGAAACUCUGACGCAGCCAUGCCGCGUGCAGGAAGACUGCCCUAUGGGUUGUAAACUGCUUUUAUAUAGGAAGAACUACAGCUACGUGUAGCUGUUUGACGGUACUAUACGAAUAAGGACCGG
rnacentral:rRNA from 1 species